GAUUAACGCUGGCGGCGUGCAUAACACAUGCAAGUCGAACGAUGAAACUUUACUGACUUCUUCGGAAUGAUUUAAAGCGGAUUAGUGGCGAACGGGUGAGUAACGCGUGAGUAACCUGCCUUACACAAGGGGAUAGCCUCUGGAAACGGAGAAUAAUACCCUAUGAAACCAGGCAAUCGCAUGAUAAUCUGGUCAAAAUGUUUAGUGGUGUAAGAUGGACUUGCGUCUGAUUAGCUAGUUGGUGAGAUAAAAGCUCACCAAGGCAACGAUCAGUAGCCGGCUUGAGAGAGUGUACGGCCACAUUGGGGCUGAGACACGGCCCAGACUCCUACGGGAGGCAGCAGUGGGGAAUUUUGCACAAUGGGGGAAACCCUGAUGCAGCGACGCCGCGUGAUUUAGAAGGCCUUCGGGUUGUAAAAAUCUUUUGUAUAGGAAGAAAAUGACAGUACUAUACGAAUAAGGUCCGGCUAAUUACGUG
rnacentral:rRNA from 1 species